rnacentral:rRNA from 1 species
GACGGAGGGUGCAAACGUUGUUCGGAAUCACUGGGCAUAAAGAGCACGUAGGCUGCGCGCUAAGUCAGGUGUGAAAUCCCCCGGCUCAACCGGGGAACUGCACCUGAUACUGGCGUGCUCGAGGACGGUAGGGGUGAGUGGAACUCCAGGUGGAGCGGUGAAAUGCGUAGAUAUCUGGAGGAACAUCGGUGGCGAAGGCGGCAUCCUGGACCGGUAUUGACGCUGAGGCGCGAAAGCCAGGGGAGCAAACGGG